rnacentral:rRNA from 1 species
CCUACGGGGGGCAGCAGUGGGGGAUAUUGCACAAUGGGGGGAACCCUGAUGCAGCGACGCCGCGUGGGUGAAGGAGUGCUUCGGCAUGUAAAGCCCUAUCGGCAGGGAAGAAGCAAGACGGUACCUGACUAAGAAGCCCCGGCUAACUACGUGCCAGCAGCCGCGGUAAUACGUAGGGGUCGAGCGUUAUCCGGAUUCACUGGGUGUAAAGGGAGCGUAGACGGCCAUGCAAGCCAGGGGUGAAAGCCCGGGGCCCAACCCCGGGACUGCGCUUGGAACUGGGCGGCUAGAGUGCGGGAGGGGCAGGCGGAAUUCCUGGUGUAGCGGUGAAAUGCGUAGAUAUCAGGAGGAACACCGGCGGCGAAGGCGGCCUGCUGGACCGCGACUGACGUUGAGGCUCGAAAGCGUGGGGAGCGAACAGGAUUAGAUACCCCAGUAGUC